GAUGAACGCUGGCGGCGUGCCUAAUACAUGCAAGUCGAGCGAACGGACGCGAAGCUUGCUUCUCUGAUGUUAGCGGCGGACGGGUGAGUAACACGUGGAUAACCUACCUAUAAGACUGGGAUAACUUCGGGAAACCGGAGCUAAUACCGGAUAAUAUUUUGAACCGCAUGGUUCAAAAGUGAAAGACGGUCUUGCUGUCACUUAUAGAUGGAUCCGCGCUGCAUUAGCUAGUUGGUAAGGUAACGGCUUAUCAAGGCAACGAUGCAUAGCCGACCUGGGGGGGUGGUCGGCCACACUGGAACGGAGACACGGUCCAGACUCCUACGGGAGGCAGCAGUAGGGAAUCGUCCGCAAUGGGCGAAAGCCUGACGGAGCAACGCGGCGUGAUUGAUGAAGGUCCUCGGGUCGGAAAACUCUGUUAUUAGGGAAGAACAUAUGUGUAAGUAACUGUGCACAUCUUGACGGUACCUAAUCAGAAAGCCACGGCUAACUACGUG
rnacentral:rRNA from 1 species